GGCUUGUGGAGCUCUGGCGGUAAACAACCUUCCUCUGGUUCAUUCUUUCCAGCCGCUCACGGCGGUGCAUCUAGCCUCUUGGGAGAAAGUGUCGGCACCCCCUGAAAACUGGUUGACGACCGGGGCGUUCAGACCUGCUUCCCACCGCGCUGCAGGCACUCCGGAGCCAACUCCACCCCUGACAGAAGCCCGCCACUGUAAGGCACACGAGUAACAGCGAUGACUUCAAAAUGAACAUGAUCUUUAUUAAUCAGAAUGCACUGCUAGCCCACAAAACACAGGUUCCCUAAAUACAGUGUCUUUGCCUACGUAUUUGAUUAACGAUGACUAUGAAAGCACAAAUUUGGGGGCCUGCAAUGUAUACAGCCAUAUUGGGAAAAAAAUUGGACUCGAUUCUUACUGCAAUAAUCAGUGUUGGAGCUGUGAAAGUAUUUUUUCAAAAUGCUUUGGAAGGUGCCUUUAAAAGAAUCUCAAAAUAUUGCUUUCCUUUCCUUGAGCGAGACCGAAAAACUUUAGAAAAAGAAAAGCUCCUGCCUAGAACAAAGGACCACGCUGAAUAUAUUUUCUACAGCAUAUUUCACAUCCCUCACAUCAAGAAGAAGAGGAGCUUUGAUGCAUUUCAGUCUACAAGUCGACAUCACAAAAGUAAGAACUAAUGCCUCCCUCGUUUCUGGAAAAACUGCCGAAGUGUGCUGGAAGCAGCCGUGGUUUCCGAAAGGAGCUAGAGGCAGAACGAGUGUGGAUGCUGAGAGAGCCCUGACUGGGACUGCUACAUAUUUCGACUGCGUAGUCACAUAUGUACAAGAUUCCCUGCACUUAUAACCAAAAUGAUAACGAAUGCUCUCAUUUGGGAUAAUUUUUUGUUAGGCAUUAGGAUAUUUUAUAAGUCUUUCAAAGCACAAGGUGUGUGUGUGUGUGUGUGUGUGUGUGUGUGUGCGCGCGUGUGUGUUUUAAAGAGAAAUGUGGCAAAUAAGGUAACACAUUUGAAAGUGCUUUGAGUAAUAACAUGACAUUGAAAAUAUCAAAAUGGUUAUUAAAUGAAAUGGGAAAAUACUGGAGAUUUUUUAAAUCUUCAUGUCUUUUUCCUGUACAUACAGAGUUUUUACAUAGAGCAGUAGGUUUACAAUGUAUAUAAUUUUGCAUCUUAUUCUUUUCACUUAGCAUUAUAAAAUAUUUCACCAUAUUAUUAUCCAUCAACCUAAACAUCAUUUAAAAUGCAGCAUAAUAUCCAACACAAUUAAUGUAUAUUAAUGUACUUAAUCAUGUGCUUUGGGACAUUUAGGUUGUUUUCAUUUUUUUGAGUAUUAUAAAUAACACGACAAUGAAUAUCUUGUACCUACAGCCUUUUAAAAUUCCAUAACGUGUCAAUGAAUACCUUGUACCUACAGUCUUUUAAAAUUCCCAUUGGGUAAAAACUGAGCACUGGAAUUAGUGGACUAAAAGGUAUGAAUAUUUAAUACAUUAUUUUUCAAAAAUAUUAUAUUAGUUUACCCUGUCACCACACUGAUUGUCAGCAUUGGGCAUUCUUAUUUUUAAAAAAUCAGUGAUAAGAUGGGUGAAAUGGUAUUCCACUAUUCUUUUUUUUUUUUUUUUUUUGAAACGUAGCCUCACACUGUCAUCCGGGCUAGAAUGCUAUGGCACAGUCUCAGCUCACUGCAUCCUUCGUCUCCCAUUUUGAAAUGUUUCUCCUGCCUCAGCCUCCCAGU